rnacentral:rRNA from 1 species
UACGUAGGGACCAAGCGUUGUUCGGAUUUACUGGGCGUAAAGAGCGCGCAGGCGGCUGGUCAAGUCCGAUGUGAAAUCUCCCGGCUCAACUGGGAAACUGCAUCGGAAACUGAUCGGCUUGAAGAUGGGAGAGGGUAGUGGAAUUCCCGGUGUAGUGGUGAAAUGCGUAGAUAUCGGGAGGAACACCAGUGGCGAAGGCGGCCUUCUGGCUCGUAACUGACGCUGUAGCGCGAAAGCGUGGGGAGCGAACGGG